rnacentral:lncRNA from 1 species
AGAGGUUUUGUGGGUAACUCCGCCUCCUCCUACAUGACAAUUUCUAGAAACUAUUAAAUAUCAUAUUAAUACACUUCUCUGGGAAAAAGAAAAAAUAUUUGGGUUGGCAUAGCACUCUGCUAGGAAGGCUGGCUCAUGCGUCCCAGGUGAUGAAACCAGACAAAUAAUAAAAUGAGGAGAGGAGAAGCAAAGAGAAAUAUGUUUCUUUCAUCUACUCUGACUUUCCACCUUAUUGUUGGAAAAGCAUGGAAAAAGUAUAUAAUUUUUUUACAUGGACUUUCCAAAUUCUUCUCAGUGAAGGCUAUUUUUUGCUGUUGCAAAUAAUCUUCUAAUACAUGAUCCUGUCUGGACUACAAAAAGAACAAUGUUGGCUGCUUCUCUGCUGUGUAUCUACUUCUUUCAAUCUUUGUCUUCAUUCUGCACCUACUGCCUCCAUGAGUGUGAGCUGAACCAUCUUGACCAUGGUGCAACCAGCAUCCAGCACCAUUUCUGCUACAUCCUUUCCACCAGCAGCAGAAUCGAGUCCAUGGGAGUUUAGACUUCUGGGUGAUAACUCAGCAUAUGCCAAUAAGAGCAGCCAAGUUUACAGGAUAUACCAGAAUAGGAGAAAAAAAAAAGCUCACAAAGAUAUCUGCAAUUGACCAUCUCUGCAAACAACUCUACAGGGAAAAAAUACUGUGCUUUGUACUAGGAAUUACUACAGAUAUUUUUAUUAGGAGUUUUCUACAAUGUAGAUCCCUUUAUUUAUGAGACAAAAAUGAUACAAACUCUUUGCACAUUCCUUGAUUUCAUGUGGGCCGCAAUGGUCAACCGAUUAAUAUUUUUCUUUUAAUUGCUAGUUGAUCUCCUCCUUAAUUACCGAAGUUAUGAGCAGGGUACCAAAUCAUGUAAUGUAAGAUAUUUCCAUACAGCAGACGUUCUUUCUUUAAUAGCGUUUUUAUUGUAUUCAGUCUGCAGAAUAUAAUUUUUCAGCAAUGAAAAGCAGCUACAGAAUCUUAAAUUGUAUAGUUUUCAUUUCCUUAAAAAAUAUUGGAAGGAGUGUUACUUCAGUAAGUUAGUAUAGGUACCGUGACCUAUGUAAAUGAUUUAGGAUUUAAUAGGUUUGACAUUGGAAGGAGGGAAAAUGUACACAAUUGCCUCCGUCUCACCAAUGAAAAAGCUGAAGGGUCUGCACACAUCACCCCUGGCCGCUGCUGUGGGUCAGCACUGCUGCCAGACCAGACAAGAGAGCACUGACUCCUUUGUCUUGCUGAGAGUCCAAAUUUGGGGAAAACCAAAGGGAGCAAUCCCCCAAGAACAUAAACCGCGGUGUAAUUUUCUUUCCGGCCUGUUUAUGACUUGAAUAGAAUUAAAAAGUGCUCUAAGUUCCCCACUUUUCCAAUGUACUUUGUGGAAAGGGCUUUAAUACAAGUGGAGCUAUCUGCUUUAGACCAGAGGGAAGGAAAUAUUUUGGGGCCACAGUGCAAUGCUAAUUUUCCUUGCCAAUCUUUCACCACUGGAGUGGGGUUCUGGUUGGGUCACCGGAAAAUAAACUUGUUUCAAUAGCUUUUCUGCCCAGAUAAGAUCCAAAAGGAGGUAUUUGUGCCAAAUAUCACAGAAAGAUUUGAACAAUAAUGGGCUGCACCGAGCGACAUUUAGAUUAGGUUAUUAAACGAGGGGCAGAGGUUACGUGUGCAUAACACUUUUGCAAGCACUUGGGAAUUUUUUGAACCGAUUUCUGCUGAUUCUUAUCAUAGAGUCGUAGAAUCAAAGAAUCAUAGAAUGGCCUGGUUUGAAAAGGACAACAGUGAUCAUCCACUUCCAACCCCCUGCUAUGUGAAGGGUCACCAACCAGCAGACCAGGCUGCCCAGAGCCACAUCCAGCCUGGCCUUGAAUGCCUGCAGGGAUGGGGCAUCCACAGCCUCCUUGGGCAACCUGUUCAGUGCGUCACCACCCUCUGGGUGAAAAACUUCCUCCUAAAUUCUUCCUGAAUCAAUGACUUUGGUGGGAGGUUUUCUCACAUAAAAGCUCCAGAAUUUGGUCCUAGGUUGAACCGUUUGGGCAGCACCAGAGGAACUGAGAUGAUUGUCCCACCGCUGCUGCGCCAGGCUGACUCCCAGCACCCCAGGAAAAUCUCCUUGGAAAAUCCCAGUGAUGGUUUAUCUGAAAUUAAUUUGCCCACAUUGUUAAGUCAAUUACCCAAAGGAGCAGAGACUCGAUUAAAAAUCUAUUUAGUUCAAUAGGAAACAGUAUACAAUUUUUUUCUCUCCUUGAGUGCAAAGAAUCUUGUUGUAUCCCUGUAUAGAUGAUAAAGGUAGUGCACUACCCACUCCUGCACAAGCAUGACUGAGCAGGCAGAGGUCUGUGUCACCGGCACCGGAGAGAGACGACACGAGGGAUGUGGCAGACAAGUGGGGUCUGUCCCCCGCUGGCACCUGGAUGCUGACCCAUCCCGCCAGGAGGUCGCUGCACCCGUCUCACUCAGAGAAACUCUCCUGUUGUCAAGCCUACAGCAAACUGUGUCCAGACAGAUUGGUGUUCUGCUCAAAGGAGCCCGCAUGAAUCAUGUAUUAGUUCAUUUAAAAGCACUUUGUAGACAAACAUGCUCACUCUAUCAGCAGGCACGGGGAUGCAAAUACUUCACUGGGUGUAUAUGAGCCUUGACAGGACAUCUGUGAUGCAUGGGAUUGAGAAACAGCUCGCUCCAGAAAGAUCAGGCAAUAAUGAGCAAAAAGGCUCACCGUAUUUUGUUCUUUUUAUUUUUUUCUGCAAGAUGAAAAUUUAACUUUGCCAUCGUGUUGGAAGCAGAGUAAACACUAUCAACAGAAAGCCAGCAGCAGGGAGAGGUAAAUGAUUUACAAGAUAUUCUUCAAUCAUUUAGCAGGAAGGCAGAAGGUUUUGGUUGAGGGUCCCGAAUACUCUUGCAGAAGGCAACAACCCCCCAGCAGUGUCUAUGCUGAUACAGCUGCUGUGCAGGAUCGUCCUUCAGAGGAAACUGCAGAGAUCAGUUCUGGAUUGAGAUUGCGUCCCCAGCCUUGGAUCCUUUAACGUCCCAGAAGGCACACAUGAAAAAAGAAAAAUCCCCCUACUUACACUGUGAAGAGGUGCUAACAGCUUUAAAGAAUUACCCACCAAAUAUUAGGUGCAAUUUAAAACUACAUUUAAAGCAGCACGGGUAGUUUAAAAGUCUACGUGGCCGGCUAAAAGUCAGAGAGAGAAAAUUGCUUGAACACGUGUUGGAUGAAUUUCUGUCUGCGUGGGAGAUAUCGCACCAGUGGGGUAAUAUACCCUCCUUUUUCAAAAAAAAAGAGGCAGAUCCUUUAUCUGGUCUUUUGCAUGCUGUGUGAUUCCAAACCUGGGCAAAAGCCUUCAGCUCACUUCCAUUUACUACUCACAGAACACAACUCUGCUAUCUAAAAAUCGUGGAAGAUUAUUUAUAGUGAAAGACAACCUUAGGCUAAACUAUUAAGUGAGGAUAAUGGAUAUGAGCCACCUAAGGCGUGUGGAGGGCUCCUUAAUGAAUUACUGGAUAAAACAAAGUCAGAUGCGCUCAGGUAGCGUCCAGUUCAAGCAGUGUGCUGUUAGAGGGCCAAGGAAGGCUCACCUCAUGUCAAGACCUGGAAACUGCACCACAGAGUGUUCCAGGCAUUGCCCUACACCCACUUCGAGGUCUCUUCAAGGGCUGCUCAGAUCAUCCUCUACAAUAUUUACUCAGCUUAUUGUAUGCUGUAUCAAUUUAAAGGUGCGCUGUAACUUAUUAGAUAGUUAUUAGCUUCCAUUUUUAGCCCUGAUCUAUUUCAUAGACCCUGAUGCCCCCUAUUUUAUGUAAGAAAGGACGUUUUAAUAGAUAUAAUCUAAAUUAGUUGGUAACUCGAUAACUUGUUCCAGUCUGCUUCUCUAAUGAAACCUGCAUUAAUGACCGCCUUCAGUAGGCAAUCUCGAACUUUAAGAAGGCACUUUAAAAUAUUCAUAACAUUUCUGGUGCAGUGUUGUUUGAACUGUAUUUAACAGACAUCUCAAAUGGGCGUUCUGGUGCUUUGCAGGAGUCAUUGUCAAUAAUGACUUUUGCAGCCCUGUCUUUGGGGCCAGGGCAGUAAUUUUGGUCGUGGCCAUGGGGCCAAGUCCCCAUGUGUCCCGUGUACUGGGCCAGAUGUGAGGAAAAAAGCAACAAAUUAAGUAAUAGUCCACACUGUAAUUGGGAAUAAACUUCCUGGAGGAUUAGUCAAGGCACAAAUUUCUGAAAGACUUUAAAAAAAUAACUGACAGAAGGUUUACUUGUAACCUAAAAUCUUUCAAAAAGGGAAAAGAGUCAAACUGCAAUAAUUAAUAUUAAAUACUUAGUGUGCAAUUAAUGGUAAUUAUAUAUAUAAAAAAAGCAACCAAUUAAAUGCUGCAACAUAAUGCACCCGAAAUCUUGUAAACGAGUGGCAUUUGUAGCAAAUGCUAAGAGCUCCUUUAAGCCAGUCACUUCUUAAAGGCUUUUGCUUUGGGAAUAAGUGUUACCUUAAUACAUUUACUUAGAUACGAUGAAAGUCAGACUUAACCUUUGCACAGUUGAAAUAACUUUAGCAACAAAACAAUGGAGUAAAUGUGAACCUCUUCUGCAAAUGCAAAUGGUAAUGCAAUCAGUGCUCAGUAAAUAAAUAUAAACACGUUUGAGCCAUAAACUGACCAGUAGCUGUUAUAGGGGUUGUCCUGAUCCCUGCUGAGCAGAGGUGGCAUCCAUAACCAGGUGCUCCUGGGACACUGAAAUGCUAUUCUGCAUCGCCUCUUCUAUCAGCUAUUACAAAAUAAAUCCAAGUCUAACUCAGUGAGAAUUCCCAAGGAGAAGAGAGUGCUAAAUGGGUUUUAAACAGUCCAAACCCCAGUGCAUGAGCAGAAUUUGGGCCAAAAGUCCUGCCAGGGGCCAGUCAGCAGGAGCCCGCUGCCAAGUGCUGAUCCUUAGAUCAACACCUCAUCCGUAAGAGGAGCCCAGUCUGGAAAUCAAAGGAAGCCCACCAGAAAAAAAAAAAAAUGUAAAAAAAAAAAAGCCAUAAAUCUGUGUUGGCUCCCAGCCCAGUGUGAUCUUACAGUAUGUUUUUGCUGAUGCUGCUUCUGGGAUGGGACAAAGGAAAUGGAUGACACGGAGAUGUCGGUGGCAGGAAGACCACCAGAUUGCCCGUAAAGAAGCAGCAGGCAGCGGGUGUAUGUGACAGGGCUGUCAUGGGGCUACAAGUUCAUCCCUCCAACUAUUUUUCUGCCUUGUGAGGUUUGCAGCAGCUCAGCUGCAACAUCUAAAGUGUGCUGGGAAGGGCUCUGUUGGAGAGGUGCAGUGCUGUGUGCUGGCAACGAGUGGAAGAGCAGCAGGGCUCACUUCAACGAUGGUUCUGUGAAAGCAGAAAGCAUCCCAACAAGUGGAAGGGACCUGAGGUUCUGCCACUGCAAAAUCAACAUCAGAUUCUGCUGAAAUUCCCUUGGGCAGUUACGGAGUGGGUAUUUCUCUGAGAGAUGUCCAAAUUGGAUGCACAGCACACCCAAAAACCAGGACUACAUCCCCCAAAAAUAUGGACCAGUGUUACGUCUCCGCUCCUCUUGUAAGCAGCUCCUCUGCAAACACAUCUGAACUAUUUCACUUACAGGCUUUGGUUUUAGCAAUUCCUUACUUAGUAUUUCUAAGGACUCAUCUGUAGGAUAUUAUAUAAACAUAAAUAUAUAUAAAAUAACAGAUAAUUACAGUAAGUUACAAAUGUGCGUUCUUCAUCAGCAGUACCAGUGAAGGAGGACACAGUUAACCAGUCAAAAAGGGUGACCAAAUCUUGUUUCUUUUCUUAAAGAAAGAGAUCAACCAAACCUGUUAAUCCAUUUGUUGCUUUCUGCUCUUCUUUUUGCGUAGUUGCUUUCAUUUUUUAUUUGCUUUCAUAUGCACAAGAGAAUGAAAAUCUGUUUGCGGCUGGAACUUCUACAGCACAUCACGUAUUUUCUUUCUUUUUUCUUAUUAUUUUUUGUCUCCCAUAAUUAUUUUUCCAGAGAGCUGCUUUUCCAAUCAGGUCACCAACUCUGAAAAACAAAACUUCAAGGCAACGUUUUGAAAAAUUGGACCUCACUUUUCUUUCAGUAGAAAGAUUCACAUCAUUCGUGUGCAAGCCAAGGCUCAAAAAUAACAUAAAUCCUUUCAGUGCCGUCUCUCUCUUUGCCUGUGUAACAGAUAUCUCUGCUAACAUUUACUUUUGUAAUUUUUCACAUUGUUCUAGCUCUCAGAGGUUAAUAUUUACCAUUCAUUUUGGUAUUCACAAGCUACAGAGGUAAGCUUGCAAAUAUCUGCCUUGGGAAAAUGAGCAGUUCUGCCAGAAAAUAUGUUCAGGUUUCUUGGUGGAACUGUGGGAGACAACACUCCAUUGACAGCAUUUCACUGCAUUCAUCUGUUCGUGCUUUAAACAUCUGCGCCAUCAAUUCGUACAGUACAACAAUUGGUAUUUUGAAGGGAUAACCAGAUAAUUACAGCAAAUGUUUAUUAGUCUCUUUGAACGGCGAGCAUGCAUUGGGAAAAAAAAGUAAGCAAGCUUAUGAAAGAAUACAGGGAACACAGACAUGUUUGGGAAGUCACUGCUAUUAUAUCCUUACACCAACCAGGCAGUCGUUCUGUGGUUGGCAUCUGCACACACAGACAGUGCCGUGUGCUAGCAAAAUUCAUCAUAAGACAGAGCUGCCUGCACAAGCUGACCCACUGCUUGCAAUAAUAUCAAAUCCUAAAUGAAUUAAUUUGCUUGCUGACCAAGUAGUUUGCCAUAUUAAAGUGCAAGUUUGCAAGACAUGUAUUCUAUUAUCCCAGAUUGCACUCCUGACACUUUACAUUAUGAACAUUUAGUGUUCUUCCUUUGAUAUUUUGAACACUGACUACAAUGAAGCUGUCAGCACAAAGGAAUUUUUUAUUCAAUUUUCAGAUGUAACAAGCAAGGAUCUUACAGGAACUUCAUUAAGACUAUGGAAACAAUAGGGAUUCAAUUAUCUAGCUAUGGAAGACAGAAGAGUAUCUUGCGAUGGGCACAGUAAUCAGAGAUACGAAACAGUUUGUGGGGAGAGGAGAGGAGCAAUUUUACUUGGUUUCUAACAUGUGGAAAACAGUAUUUACUCCAAAUGCUCAUUUAGUCCAAGUGCUCAUAGUGACUAAGAGAGUGAUGAUUUACUCGGAGGCUGCACUAAGCUUGUACUGCUCUUGUCACCAUGAUCUAACGCUGGUAGUACAUUGUGAGCAAGCAGAGAUCAUUGAUUAACACUGCCAGACAGCUGCGUUGGAAUCAUCAAGUCAAUACUCUGUGCUCUUGGUCAAAAAAAAAAAAAAAAAGAAGAAGAAGAAGAAAGAAAAACUCCAACACAAAAAUAAUAACGAAAGAAGAGAUUGCUGCAUUUUUAUCAGCACGAGCUAUGUAAUCUAGAUUUAGUCAUCCACAGGGAGGGCAAAACUCCCACAGGGAGAGCAAAUUUGUUUUGUCACAUCUUUGCAUGUAGCUAAAAUUCGAGCACUAGUACUAAUUCCCCUAAAGCAGGCUGCAGCCCACCCAGCCUCCUGAGGCAAGAGGAGACCAGAUAUGAAUGCAUAUAUGUAUAUAUAUUUACAGACCACAUGAAACUAAAUUUAAUAAACAUUCCAGGAAGGAACGGACUUGGCAGAAUAGCCAGACAAUGAAAUAAAGUUUUUUUACUGCAUGGUUGUGUUUUAAGACCUUGCAGAAAAUGAACUCCUCAGCGAUUGCAUUCUGAUGGCUCUGGGAAUGCUUUUCAGUGUGCCAUAUUGUAUCACUUUCCACUGGACAGUGAUUGUUUUAAAGCCACAACAUAAGACACAAAUAUUUGAUUAAAAUGAAUUCCACCCUAAAAGUCUGGGUGUUCUUUUUUUAGGGAUUCAGAUGCAAAAAAUGAGCUGACUGUGGUCUGCUGAGGUCCCAGCAGUAUUGUCUGAUGCAAAAGUUCAGCUGUACAGGGAUUCAUUUGGAGUACUCACCGCCACUGAAAAUAGUAAUAAACAGUGUUUUGCAAUGGUCUUUGCAUUUCUUUAUCUGUCCUUAUUGUGUCUGAGAUGCAGAGAUGAGAACACUGCUUUAUCUCAUCUGCUUCAUCAGAGCUGCAAUUGGAGCAUAUACAAGCAAUAGUGUUUUAAAGUGCCACUAGAAUUGUAGCUCUAUCCAGGUUACACGAUAAAAUAACAAAUGAGAGAAAGAAUACUGGAGGUCGUGGAAAUACGGACCUAUAAAGAUACACCUCGGAUUCCCAUGCAUACUCAAGUAACAAGGUAGGACUGCAGGGAACAAGUUGAUGGCUUUCUCCGUGCAGCACUGCAGACAAUGAUGCUUUUUCACUCAAAUUCAUUUGCUUAUGGGGAACCAGGGAAAUUUUGACGAGAACUGGCCAAAGCUUAAUCUUUUCAGUCUAUAAAAAAUUUAAACAGUUUGCUCCCAUUUCAUAAAUGUUGACAUUUCCCACAGAGGGAGAAAAUAUCAUAUCAGAAUGUUUCCUUAAAAAGAAAUAGGAAAGGGCCCUGCGAUGGGUCUGCGAAGCUUGUUGAAUACCCAAUCUGCCAGGAGCCAACAGCAUGGGGUCUGCUUGACCAGCGGCUGGAGCACUCCUGGGAGCUGAGGCCUCACUUCAAAAGGGUUCAGCACAGCUCACAGCAGCCCCACACUGGCAGAGGAAGAGCUGGGUGAUGUGGAGGGGCCUCUAAAAGCUGUAACCCCUGGGCUCGGUCUCUCUGGCAAACUAUGAGGUAAGCAAGCUGCUGACUUAAGUACAAAGUGAUCUUCUCUCUGGGCAUCAAUGGGUGCUUCUGCAAAGUGUUUCAGCUUCAAGGAGUCUUUAUGGAUAAAAUAAAUAUAAAAAUAAAAUAAAAAAAAGCAAAGCAUUUCUCCUUGCCGUUUCAUUAGAGGCUGCUAAAACCCACAAGCACCACGUCAAGAAGCAGAGCUGUGGGAGGUGCCAUGCCUGCCUUUACACUGGGAUUGAUCUCACGUACAGCUGGGAUUAGCAGUGGGCUGAGUCAUAUUCCAGUCAUUUCCUUCCAGAGAAAAGGGAAUAAAGAACGGGCCUGACACUGAGUUGUGGUACUCCUACCCCAUGUUUUUGAUUGCGUGUGAGGUCCUGGUGCUUCUACAUGGCCAAGGUCAAAGGGAAAGCCCACAAAGCUCCACUGGGUUGCAGAAGUGACCUCUGUGGAGUUGAGGUCUGGAUGUCUAAAUAGGAUGGGAUUAGCUAUUCCACAGCACACCUGAUGUAAUGCAGCUGAGCAGGAGAACCAGAACAGUAGCUUUUUCUUCUGCCAUUUAACAUACCUCAUAACCCUGAGGACAUUGUCUUAACCAAAGGCUUGAACUCUGGAUGAAUUGUAAUUCUCACAGCAUCGAAACCCAGGAGAGUGCAAUGCUUGCCAGAAAGAUCCUGAAGGGGAGAAGAAAAAAAAAAAAAUGAACAAACUUGAUAAUUAUGGUUAAAAAAAAGAGAGAGAGAGAGAGAGAAUAUGCACAUCCAUAGUUUUGCUAAGUUUGGGGUUGACGAGAAGAAUCAAAGUGGUAGCCUGGAGAGAAAAUCUGUAUUUGAGGUGUGAGGUUAACUGACAAAAAAAAUCAAACUUAAGACUGAAGUGCAUAACUUAAAGAACAACUAAAACCUACAAGGAACCUUUCAAGAAAAAAAGCAUCAGAUUACAUUUUAUGACCAAGAGGCAAAGCUAAGAAAAAUAUUUCAAACAGAAGAGCUGUUAUUUUUGUAGCUUUGAAACAAUACGUAACUAGCACAGAAGAUAAUACGAUACAAGACAGGUAAUCCAAUCAUUUAAGAGUUUACGGCUGCAGUCUUCUCCACAAGAGAGAUUCGACUGUGCUUCGUCUCUUUCCAUAAAUGAAUAAAUUCGGGAAAUCGUAAGCACGGGUAUUCGGAUUUGUUUUCUCUUUCGAGGCUUGAAAAAAUCAGAGCCAGUGGCCUUGAGUGCUGCAGGAGACCUUCCACAGUGAGCCUGUAUUGCAUCCACACACAAAGCAAAAUUAAUCCGAACGGCACUGCUCCCCCAGCACGCUUUCUUUAAUAAUUUGAUUUCAUCAUCAAGUUUAAUUGCAGAUUUCAAAGUUCUUUACCUGCGCAAUCCUGAGCUGAUACCGGAG